ACCUAUACAACUUUCAGCAACGGAUCUCUUGGCUCUCGCAUCGAUGAAGAACGCAGCGAAAUGCGAUAAGUAAUGUGAAUUGCAGAAUUCAGUGAAUCAUCGAAUCUUUGAACGCACCUUGCGCUCCUUGGUAUUCCGAGGAGCAUGCCUGUUUGAGUGUCAUUAAUUUCUCAACCUCACCAACUU
rnacentral:rRNA from 4 species